GACGAACGCUGGCGGCGUGCCUAAUACAUGCAAGUCGAGCGGAUCUUGAAAAGCUUGCUUUUCCUGAUCAGCGGCGGACGGGUGAGUAACACGUGGGCAACCUGCCUGUAAGACUGGGAUAACUCCGGGAAACCGGGGCUAAUACCGGAUAAUCCCUUUCCUCUCAUGAGGAAAAGCUGAAAGACGGUUUCGGCUGUCACUUACAGAUGGGCCCGCGGCGCAUUAGCUAGUUGGUGAGGUAACGGCUCACCAAGGCGACGAUCAGUAUCCGGCCUGAGAGGGCGGACGGACACACUGGGACUGAGACACGGCCCAGACUCCUACGGGAGGCAGCAGUGGGGAAUUGUUCGCAAUGGGCGCAAGCCUGACGACGCAACGCCGCGUGGAGGAUGAAGAUCUUCGGGUCGUAAACUCCUUUCGAUCGAGACGAACGGCCCUGGGGUGAACAAUCCCGGGGAGUGACGGUACCGAGAGAAGAAGCCCCGGCUAACUCCGUGCCAGCAGCCGCCGUAAAAC
rnacentral:rRNA from 1 species